AGAAUUCAUUCAUUCUGCCUGACACAUCUCUCACUGGGAGUUGACAAUCUAAUGUUCUGAAUUUCUAUUCCAGCCCCUGUGAGCUGUGACUGCAAGAGUCAGCACCUAAAUUAGAUCAACACUACAACAUCAAAAAGCCAGCUUGAUGGCACAGCGGGGAGUGAGGAAGACUCGGUGGACAAAUCUGACUGGAAAACAAGUAGGCGUUGCAGAUGAGGCUGAAAGUGCAAGACCAGAGCACCAGCAUGGAUGGGUUGCAGUGAGGGCUCUCUUUUGAGCUGCAGGUGGCUGUCUUCUCAUUUAUCUUCACAUGGUGAGAAAAGGAUGAGAGAGUUCUCUGUGAACCCCUUUAUAAGGAUGCUGAACCCAUUCAUAAGGGCUCUCCCCUCAGGACCUAAUUACCUCUCAAAAACCCCACCUCUUAACACCAUUAUAUUGAGGGUUAGGAUUUCAACAUAUUAAUUUGGGGGGCUACAAAAACAUUCCAUCCCCAACAGAUGUUAAAUUGAAACAUUUUUAAUUCUCACUCUAUGUUCUGUGCUAGGCGACAGAAUUCCCUCCCUAAAGACAUUUACCUCCUAAUCCCCAGAAUGUAUGAGUCGUUAUUACUUUACAUGGCAAAGAAUUACUUUACAGAUGUGGUUAAG
rnacentral:lncRNA from 10 species